CCAUGGUGCAUUGUCGUUGCAUUGCAUGUGUCUCUAUACCCCUAUGUAGUGCAAGAACAGUGCAAUAUGG
rnacentral:pre_miRNA from 15 species